rnacentral:rRNA from 1 species
CCUACGGGAGGCAGCAGUGAGGAAUAUUGGUCAAUGGGCGCGAGCCUGAACCAGCCAAGUAGCGUGAAGGAUGACUGCCCUCCGGGUUGUAAACUUCUUUUAUAAAGGAAUAAAGUGAGGCACGUGUGCCUUUUUGUAUGUACUUUAUGAAUAAGGAUCGGCUAACUCCGUGCCAGCAGCCGCGGUAAUACGGUGGAUCCGAGCGUUAUCCGGAUUUAUUGGGUUUAAAGGGAGCGUAGAGGGGUUGUUAAGUCAGUGGUGAAAGUUUGCGGCUAAACCGUAAAAUUGAAGUUUAAACUGGCAGUCUUGAGUACAGUAGAGGUGGGCGGAAUGCGGGGGGUAGCGGUGAAAUGCUAGAUAUCACGAAGAACUCCGAUAGCGAAGGCAGUUCACUGGACUGCAACUGACACUGAGGCUCGAAAGUGUGGGUAUCAAACAGGAUUAGAUACCCCAGUAGUC